UACGUAGGGGGCGAGCGUUGCCCGGAUUCACUGGGCGUAAAGCGCGUGUAGGCGGUCUGUUAAGUCGGGUGUGAAAUCUCCGGGCCCAACCCGGAAAUUGCAUCCGAUACUGGCAGACUUGAGGACGGUAGAGGUUGGUGGAAUGGCCGGUGUACCGGUGAAAUGGGCAGAUAUCGGCCAGAACACCAGUGGCGAAGGCGGCCAACUGGGCCGUUCCUGACGCUGAGACGCGAAAGCCAGGGGAGCGAACCGG
rnacentral:rRNA from 1 species